UACGGGGGGGGCAAGCGUUGUUCGGAAUUACUGGGCGUAAAGGGCGCGUAGGCGGCAAUUCAAGUCAGCUGUGAAAUCUCCGGGCUUAACUCGGAACGGUCAGCUGAUACUGCUUUGCUAGAGUGCGGAAGGGGCAAUCGGAAUUCUCGGUGUAGCGGUGAAAUGCGUAGAUAUCGGGAAGAACACCGGUGGCGAAGGCGGCUCUCUGGACCUGUCCUGACGCUCAGGCGCGAAAGCUAGGGGAGCGAACAGG
rnacentral:rRNA from 1 species